CGGAGGGUGCGAGCGUUGUCCGGAAUCACUGGGCGUAAAGGGCGCGUAGGCGGCGCGGGCAGUCAACGGUGAAAGCUUGGGGCUCAACCCCGAGUCGGCCGUCGAUAUUCCCGUGCUGGAGCAUUGUAGAGGCAGGUGGAAUUCCGGGUGUAGCGGUGGAAUGCGUAGAGAUCCGGAAGAACACCGGUGGCGAAGGCGGCCUGCUGGGCAGUAGCUGACGCUGAGGCGCGACAGCGUGGGGAGCAAACAGGAUUAGAUACCCUGGUAGUCCACGCCGUAAACGAUGGGCACUAGGUGCUUGGGGGAGCGACCCUCUGAGUGCCGGCGCUAACGCAUUAAGUGCCCCGCCUGGGGAGUACGGCCGCAAGGCUG
rnacentral:rRNA from 1 species